CAAUAUAUUAAAGUAAAAAUUACAACAAAAAACAAAACAAAGUCUUAAUGCUUUCUAAUGAUCCUCCUUUUCAUGUCACUUGUACACCGUACUAUCAUAGCACUUCAUACAGUUGUUAUCUUUACGUCAUCUCAUACCCUUUCUUUUCUAACAAAAAUUUCCAUGAUGUUGGGGGUUCCCACGCUAGUUUAUCAUUUAUUAAAAUUUCGUUUUUUGCCCUCUUUAAGAUCUCUGGUGGUUCUGCCACUGCUGGUUGUUCUUGGUGCUGGAGUUUCCUAAUACAUUCCACUUUGUCCCAUUGUAUUGCUGUAUCGCUCUCAUGUGUUUUGCGUGCUGGGGCCGUG
rnacentral:lncRNA from 1 species